UACGUAGGGGGCAAGCGUUGUCCGGAAUCAUUGGGCGUAAAGCGCGUGUAGGCGGCCCGUUAAGUCCGCUGUGAAAGUCCAGGGCUCAACCCUGGAAUGCCGGUGGAUACUGUCGGGCUCGAGUCCGGAAGAGGCGAGUGGAAUUCCUGGUGUAGCGGUGAAAUGCGCAGAUAUCAGGAGGAACACCGAUGGCGAAGGCAGCUCGCUGGGACGGUACUGACGCUGAGACGCGAAAGCGUGGGGAGAAAACAGG
rnacentral:rRNA from 1 species